UACGUAGGGUGCAAGCGUUGUCCGGAAUUAUUGGACGUAAAGAGCUCGUAGGCGGCCUGUCGCGUCGGCUGUGAAAACCCGGGGCUCAACCCCGGGCCUGCAGUCGAUACGGGCAGGCUAGAGUCCGGUAGGGGAGACUGGAAUUCCUGGUGUAGCGGUGAAAUGCGCAGAUAUCAGGAGGAACACCGGUGGCGAAGGCGGGUCUCUGGGCCGGAACUGACGCUAAGGAGCGAAAGCGUGGGGAGCGAACAGG
rnacentral:rRNA from 1 species